rnacentral:rRNA from 1 species
AUACGUAGGGCGCGAGCGUUGUCCGGAAUUACUGGGCGUAAAGAGCUCGUAGGUGGUUUGUCGCGUCGUCUGUGAAAUUCCGGGGCUUAACUCCGGGCGUGCAGGCGAUACGGGCAUAACUUGAGUACUGUAGGGGAGACUGGAAUUCCUGGUGUAGCGGUGAAAUGCGCAGAUAUCAGGAGGAACACCGGUGGCGAAGGUGGGUCUCUGGGCAGUAACUGACGCUGAGGAGCGAAAGCAUGGGUAGCGAACAGGAUUAGAUACCCUGGUAGUCCAUGCCGUAAACGGUGGGCGCUAGGUGUAGGGGUCUUCCACGACUUCUGUGCCGUAGCUAACGCAUUAAGCGCCCCGCCUGGGGAGUACGGCCGCAAGGCUAAAACUCAAAUGAAUUGACGGGG